rnacentral:rRNA from 1 species
GACGAGCGCUGGCGGCGUGCCUAAUACAUGCAAGUCGAACGAGAGCGCCCGGUGCUUGCACUGGUCAAUCUAGUGGCUAACGGGUGAGUAACACGUGGGUCACCUGCCCAUCAGAGGGGGAUAACAUCCGGAAACGGCUGCUAAAACCGCAUAGGUCUUCGAACCGCAUGGUUUGAAGAGGAAAAGAGGCGCAAGCUUCUGCUGAUGGAUGGACCCGCGGUGCAUUAGCUAGUUGGUGAGGUAACGGCUCACCAAGGCCGUGAUGCAUAGCCGACCUGAGAGGGUGAUCGGCCACAUUGGGACUGAGACACGGCCCAAACUCCUACGGGAGGCAGCAGUAGGGAAUCUUCGGCAAUGGACGCAAGUCUGACGGAGCAACGCCGCGUGAGUGAAGAAGGUUUUCGGAUCGUAAAACUCUGUUGUUAGAGAAGAACAAGUGCUAGAGUAACUGUUAGCGCCUUGACGGUAUCUAAACAGAAAGCCACGGCUAACUACGUG